AGAGUUUGAUCAUGGCUCAGAAUCAACGCUGGCGGCGUGCCUAACACAUGCAAGUCGAGCGAGAAAGGGUAGCAAUAUCCGAGUACAGCGGCGCACGGGUGAGUAACACGUGGGUAAUCUGCCUCGAAGUGGGGAAUAACACCGGGAAACCGGUGCUAAUACCGCAUAAUCUGGCGAAGUCUGCGGAUUUUGUCAGCAAAGGAGCAAUUCGCUUUGAGAGGAGCCCGCGGCUGAUUAGCUAGUUGGUGAGGUAAUGGCUCACCAAGGCUACGAUCAGUAGCCGGUCUGAGAGGACGGUCGGCCACACUGGAACUGAGACACGGUCCAGACUCCUACGGGAGGCAGCAGUGGGGAAUUUUUGGCAAUGGGGGCAACCCUGACCAAGCAACGCCGCGUGGGUGAUGAAGUCUCUUGGGACGUAAAACCCUUUCGACAGGGACGAAAGCCGCAAGGUUUGACGGUACCUGUAGAAGAAGCCCCGGCUAACUCCGUGCCAGCAGCCGCGGUAAUACGGGGGGGGCAAGCGUUGUUCGGAAUUACUGGGCGUAAAGGGCGCGUAGGCGGCUCACUAAGUCGGACGUGAAAACUCUGGGCUCAACCCAGAGCCUGCAUCCGAAACUGGUGGGCUAGGGUACUGGAGGGGAAAGCGGAAUUCCUGGUGUAGCGGUGAAAUGCGUAGAUAUCAGGAGGAACACCGGUGGCGAAGGCGGCUUUCUGGACAGUAACCGACGCUGAGGCGCGAAAGCUAGGGGAGCAAACAGGAUUAGAUACCCUAGUAGUCC
rnacentral:rRNA from 1 species